rnacentral:rRNA from 1 species
AAGUCGUAACAAGGUUUCCGUAGGUGAACCUGCGGAAGGAUCAUUACUGAGCUGUCGACACGAGCUGUUGCUGGUCCUCAAACAAGGGGGCAUGUGCACGCUCUGUUCACACAUCCACUCACACCUGUGCACCCUCUGUAGUUCUAUGGUCUGGGGGACACACCCGUCUUCCUCCCGUAGCUCUACGUUUUUACACAUACACCGUAGUGAAGUUUUAUGGAAUGUGCGCCGCGUUUAACGCAAUACAAUACAACUUUCAGCAACGGAUCUCUUGGCUCUCGCAUCGAUGAAGAACGCAGCGAAAUGCGAUAAGUAAUGUGAAUUGCAGAAUUCAGUGAAUCAUCGAAUCUUUGAACGCACCUUGCGCCCCUUGGACAUUCCGAGGGGUAUGCCUGUUUGAGUAUCAUGAACACCUCAACUCCUCAUGGUUCGCCGUGAUGAGCUUGGACUUCUGGAGGUUUUGCUGGCCUGCGGGUCGGCUCCUCUCAAAUGGAUCAGCUCGCCAGUGUUUGGUGGCAUCACGGGUGUGAUAACUAUCUACGCUUGUGGCCGUCUGCCAGGUAACCUUCGGCAACGGAGGUUCGCUGGGGCUAACAAAAGUCUUUCCUUGGCGAAGACAGCUUUUUGAACGUUCGAUCUCAAAUCAGGUAGGAUUACCCGCUGAACUUAAGCAUAUCAAUAAGCGGAGGAAAAGAAACUAACAAGGAUUCCCCUAGUAACUGCGAGUGAAGCGGGAAGAGCUCAAAUUUAAAAUCUGGCGUGCCUCUGGCCGUCCGAGUUGUAGUCUGAAGAAGCGCUUUCCGUGUUGGACCGUGUAUAAGUCUCUUGGAACAGGGCGUCAUAGAGGGUGAGAAUCCCGUCUUUGACACGGACUACCAAUGCUUUGUGAUGCGCUUUCAAAGAGUCGAGUUGUUUGGGAAUGCAGCUCAAAAUGGGUGGUAAAUUCCAUCUAAAGCUAAAUAUAGGCGAGAGACCGAUAGCGAACAAGUACCGUGAGGGAAAGAUGAAAAGCACUUUGGAAAGAGAGUUAAACAGUACGUGAAAUUGCUGAAAGGGAAACGCUUGAAGUCAGUCGUGUCUGCCGGGACUCAGCCUUGCUUCUGCUUGGUGUACUUUCUGGUCGGAUGGGCCAACAUCAAUUUUGACCGUUGGAGAAAGGCUUUGGGAACGUGGCACCUUUGGGUGUGUUAUAGCCCUUUGUUGUAUACGACGGUUGGGAUUGAGGACUGCAGCACGCCUUUAUGGCCGGGGAUAUUCCCACGUACGUGCUUAGGAUGUUGGCAUAAUGGCUUUAAGCGACC